rnacentral:rRNA from 1 species
GAGUUUGAUCUUGGCUCAGAACGAACGCUGGCGGUAUGCCUAACACAUGCAAGUCGCACGAGAAAGUCUUCGGAUGAGUAGAGUGGCGCACGGGUGAGUAACGCGUAGGUGACCUGCCGAAUAGUGGGGGAUAACACGAAGAAAUUCGUGCUAAUACCGCAUAUGGACGACGAACCUGAGAGUAGUCGUCGAAAGAGCGCCUCUUUACAAUGCGCUCGCUAAUCGAUGGGCCUGCGUAGCAUUAGCUAGUUGGUGGGGUAACGGCCUACCAAGGCGAUCGAUGCUUAGCGGAUCUGAGAGGAUGAUCCGUCACACUGGAACUGAGAUACGGUCCAGACUCCUACGGGAGGGCCAGCAGUGGGGAAUAUUGCGCAAUGGACGAAAGUCUGACGCAGCAAUACCGCGUGAGUGAGGAAGGCCUU